rnacentral:lncRNA from 1 species
GAGAAGGAUUUCAAGCUAGAAGAAACAAGAAUCAACUAGAAGAUUGAAGAAGGCCGUAACAUUAUUUCUACAAAUGUUGAAUUAGACUUUUAGCAGCAAUGGCUGCUCUACCUUUCUCAGCAACCUCUAGGCAUAUCAAUUCAUCUUCACAUUCCUUUUUUUAUUGCUAAGUUGCUAUUAAUGCCAUUUGCCACCACCACAAAAUCCCCAUUUCUUCAUAAUCAUCUUUUAGUAUCGGACUAUCAGUGAUAAUAUCCACUACGAAAUAAAGGAGAAUGCAGUUUUACAAAGGGACGAGGAGAGAAUGGAGAAUAGGUAAGGCC